rnacentral:rRNA from 2 species
AGACCCGAAACCCGGUGAUCUAGCCAUGGGCAGGUUGAAGGUUGGGUAACACUAACUGGAGGACCGAACCGACUAAUGUUGAAAAAUUAGCGGAUGACCUGUGGCUGGGGGUGAAAGGCCAAUCAAACCGGGAGAUAGCUGGUUCUCCCCGAAAGCUAUUUAGGUAGCGCCUCGUGAAUUCAUCUCCGGGGGUAGAGCACUGUUUCGGCUAGGGGGCCAUCCCGGCUUACCAACCCGAUGCAAACUGCGAAUACCGGAGAAUGUUAUCACGGGAGACACACGGCGGGUGCUAACGUCCGUCGUGAAGAGGGAAACAACCCAGACCGCCAGCUAAGGUCCCAAAGUCAUGGUUAAGUGGGAAACGAUGUGGGAAGGCCCAGACAGCCAGGAUGUUGGCUUAGAAGCAGCCAUCAUUUAAAGAAAGCGUAAUAGCUCACUGGUCGAGUCGGCCUGCGCGGAAGAUGUAACGGGGCUAAACCAUGCACCGAAGCUGCGGCAGCGACACUCAGGUGUUGUUGGGUAGGGGAGCGUUCUGUAAGCCUGUGAAGGUGGCCUGUGAGGGUUGCUGGAGGUAUCAGAAGUGCGAAUGCUGACAUAAGUAACGAUAAAGCGGGUGAAAAGCCCGCUCGCCGGAAGACCAAGGGUUCCUGUCCAACGUUAAUCGGGGCAGGGUGAGUCGACCCCUAAGGCGAGGCCGAAAGGCGUAGUCGAUGGGAAACGGGUUAAUAUUCCCGUACUUGGUGUUACUGCGAAGGGGGGACGGAGAAGGCU